rnacentral:misc_RNA from 1 species
GAUGAAGAACUUAGCGAAAUGCGAUACGUAAUGUGAAUUGCAGAAUUCAGUGAAUCAUCGAGUCUUUGAACGCACAUUGCGCCCCCUGGUAUUCCGGGGGGCAUGCCUGUCCGAGCGUCAUUGCUGCCCUCAAGCACGGCUUGUGUGUUGGGCCUCCGUCCUCCUCCCGGGGGACGGGCCCGAAAGGCAGCGGCGGCACCGCGUCCGGUCCUCGAGCGUAUGGGGCUUCGUCACCCGCUCUUGUAGGCCCGGCCGGCGCUUGCCGACACAUCAAUCUUUUUUCCAGGUUGACCUCGGAUCAGGUAGGGAUACCCGCUGAACUUAAGCAUAUCAAUAAGGGAGGA